GGAUAGGUGGGAGGCUUUGAAGUGUGGACGCCAGUCUGCAUGGAGCCGACCUUGAAAUACCACCCUUUAAUGUUUGAUGUUCUAACGUUGACCCGUAAUCCGGGUUGCGGACAGUGUCUGGUGGGUAGUUUGACUGGGGCGGUCUCCUCCUAAAGAGUAACGGAGGAGCACGAAGGUUGGCUAAUCCUGGUCGGACAUCAGGAGGUUAGUGCAAUGGCAUAAGCCAGCUUGACUGCGAGCGUGACGGCGCGAGCAGGUGCGAAAGCAGGUCAUAGUGAUCCGGUGGUUCUGAAUGGAAGGGCCAUCGCUCAACGGAUAAAAGGUACUCCGGGGAUAACAGGCUGAUACCGCCCAAGAGUUCAUAUCGACGGCGGUGUUUGGCACCUCGAUGUCGGCUCAUCACAUCCUGGGGCUGAAGUAGGUCCCAAGGGUAUGGCUGUUCGCCAUUUAAAGUGGUACGCGAGCUGGGUUUAGAACGUCGUGAGACAGUUCGGUCCCUAUCUGCCGUGGGCGCUGGAGAACUGAGGGGGGCUGCUCCUAGUACGAGAGGACCGGAGUGGACGCAUCACUGGUGUUCGGGUUGUCAUGCCAAUGGCACUGCCCGGUAGCUAAAUGCGGAAGAGAUAAGUGCUGAAAGCAUCUAAGCACGAAACUUGCC
rnacentral:rRNA from 1 species